rnacentral:rRNA from 1 species
CCUACGGGGUGCAGCAGUGGGGGAUAUUGCACAAUGGGGGGAACCCUGAUGCAGCGACGCCGCGUGAGCGAAGAAGUACUUCGGUAUGUAAAGCUCUAUCAGCAGGGAAGAAAAUGACGGUACCUGACUAAGAAGCCACGGCUAAAUACGUGCCAGCAGCCGCGGUAAUACGUAUGGGGAACGCGUUAUCCGGAUUUACUGGGUGUAAAGGGAGCGCAGGCGGCCUGCCAAGACUGGUGUGAAAACCCGGGGCCCAACCCCGGGCCUGCAUUUGAUACUGGCGGGCUGGAGUGUCGGAGGGGCAGGCGGAAUUCCAAGUGUAGCGGUGAAAUGCGUAGAGAUUAGGAGGAACACCGGUGGCGAAGGCGGCCUGCUGGACGAUGACUGACGCUGAGGCGCGAAAGCGUGGGGAGCAAACAGGAUUAGAUACCCCAGUAGUC